GUGACCUCAGAUCAGGUAGGAAUACCCGCU
rnacentral:rRNA from 1 species